ACUACCUCGUUUUCUUGUUUUAUUUCUCUCUUUUGUUUCUGUUUCUCGGCAUCUCUCAUCCAUUAAGUAGGCUAGUUCGUCUUCUUUGUUUUGGGUUAAGUAUCCGAAAACACGAAAACAUCGAUCUCAUUCCUUCAAUUAUUUCUCAUUUUAUUUGAUCACUUUUAAAGGUAUUUUUUGAAUUUAUUGUUAUGAAAUAAAUAUGAUUUUUUUUUUUAUAAUUUUUUUAUGUUAUUAUAACUUUCGUGUGCGUAUUUGCAGAAUUAAUUAUGAAUGAAGACGUAUCAAAUUUAAUAUCAUUUGCUUUUUAUUCCUACUCAACAGAUGAUAUGAACUUCAAAAUUAAGCACCUUCACUUCAGGAGCAAAUUACAAAGUUUGUCUAGUUGGAUAUUUUGCCUUUGUUAUCUUGUAAAAUUAAUUCUUCAGUGUUCUAGGCCCGAGAAUGAUCCAUUAAGAGCACUUCAGGGAUUAGAAAACUUGGUAGUGCUUCAUCUUCUAGAAGAUUCUUAUUCGGGAGAAGAAUUAAACUGUGAUAUUGAAGGAAGCUAUCCAAAAUUUAAGAAGCCCCAUGAACUGAGGUUUUUGAAGAUAAGUCCUUUUCAUCUGGCUCCACGAGAUAUUGUGCAUCUUUUCGGGACAAAUACAUUUGUAUUCAUCACCUCGAAAAGCUUUUAUGCAGAAAAGGGUCCAAAACUCUUCAUUAGACAAAGAAUUAAGAUUGAAAAUGUGAUUGAUAGUUUCGGUUGAGGAGGUUAUGUCUCCGGGGUUACUUGUAAUGAAUAUAAAAACAUUGAAAACAAAGUUAGAGGUUAAAGUGUAUGUACUUGACCUAUCACUUUCAUUUUCAAAGUGGUAAGACCGCUAAUAUAUGUUUUAUUUGUAAAAGAAAUAGAUACAAUGAUAAUAUGCUUAAAGAGAGUUCGGUACUCUUCAAUCACAUUUUUAUUUAGAAUAUUUUUUAUAUUAAA